rnacentral:rRNA from 1 species
UACGUAGGGUGCGAGCGUUGUCCGGAAUUAUUGGGCGUAAAGAGCUCGUAGGCGGUGUGUCGCGUCGGCCGUGAAAACCUGCAGCUCAACUGCAGGCUUGCAUUCGAUACGGGCAGGCGUCGAGUUCGGUAGGGGAGACUGGAAUUCCUGGUGUAGCGGUGAAAUGCGCAGAUAGUCAGGAGGAACACCGGUGGCGAAGGCGGGUCUCUGGGCCGAUACUGACGCUGAGGAGCGAAAGCGUGGGGAGCGAACAGGAUAGAUACCCUUGUAGCUC